UACUGUUUCUCAUGAUGGUUUUCCAUACUGGAACCCAAAGGUAAAGACACUCAAGGACAGACAUUUUUGGCAGAGAUGGAAAGGAAGUGGAAGACAGGCAGAGUGCACCGUAUCAAGGGAGAACUUCAAUUCUGCGGGAUGGCAUCACUGAAGGGAAGGCUGCUCUCCGAAUACACAACGUCACAGCCUCUGACAGUGGAAAGUACUUGUGUUAUUUCCAAGAUGGUGACUUCUAUGAAAAAGCCCUGGUGGAGCUGAAGGUUGCAGCACUGGGUUCUAAUCUUCACAUCGAAGUGAAGGGUUAUGAGAAUGGAGGGAUCCAUCUGGAGUGCAGGUACACCGGCCGGUACCCCCAACCCCAAAUACAGUGGAGCGACGCCAAGGGAGAGAACAUCCCAGCUGUGGAAGCACCUGUGGUUGCAGACAGAGUGGGCCUAUAUGAAGUAGCAGCAUCUGUGAUCAUGAGAGGCGGCUCCGGGGAGGGUGUAUCCUGCAUCAUCAGAAAUUCCCUCCUCGGCCUGGAAAAGACAGCCAGCAUUUCCAUCGCAGAGAGCCUCCAGGAGGAACUCAAGAGGAAAAAAAUCCAGUACUUGACUCGUGGAGAGGAGUCUUCGUCCGAUACCAAUAAGUCAGCCUGAUGCUCU
rnacentral:sRNA from 1 species